UUGUGUUUUUUGCUGCUAAAAUACUUGCUAUCUUAAUUUUAAUUGUUUUUAUUUUAAGUAACAGACUCUCUGAGAAGCAAUGAACACCUCCAGUGAAUUCAACUGGGGAGUUUUGGGGAAUAAAUAUUAUAAUUUCUAGUUCUUAGAUGAAAAAAACUGAAUCAUAUGGAUGGGACUUUCUAUGCAACAUCUUCAAAUACACUCUUGAUCAUCACAUGGGUACCAAGUCCAACACAGCAUCAUUUAAAAAUUUGAAGGGUACCAAGGUGUACUCCAGUGUGUGUCAAACAGUGGGCCAUAUUACAGUGGUAGAUUAUGAGGCCAAUUUAGUGGGGUUGCAACCAUAAUUUUAAAGAAUUGAAUUAUUAUGGAGUAGGACUGGUAAAAUAAGAGUGAAUUGUCUAUAUAAAGGUAAAUAUUGUUUUGUGAAACCUUGUUUUGGUAAUGUAUGCGUGUGUUGGUUUACAUUACAAAUGUACUUCUCACUGUGAGUUUUGAUUAUUGGUAUAGUGGAGAAACAGGGGCUCCACAGCCAGACACUCUUGGCUUCCAGUAUCAUUGGCCUGUUUUACAGAAAAGAGCAUAGAACUGUGCCUACAAGCUAACAGGCAUUCAAAACAAUGUCCCUUCUUUACUGCCUCUGUCCACAGGCUGCCCCCACCUUCUCCAGUGUGGACUUGAAGUUUUGGAACCACAGAGUAAUGCAACACUGACAUUAGCAAACAAGAUGUCCUUAAACAAACAGCAGAAUGACGCAUCAUCCAUCAAAAAUGUGAGUGUGAGGAUGGUGGGACCAUUCUGGCACGCUUGAGCAGCAGGGCCCUCUGAGCCCUCAGAUGUCGUCUAGCCAGGUGUGUGGGGGCCACUUGCCAUGCGCAGCUUCUCUCAGCAGAGGCUGACCAGAAUGGUGGUGAUAUGAAGAGUUGGGGAAUUCGACUUGAAUACAAAACAUAACACUGCUUCCACUUAAAAAGGCAAUGACAAUAGCUACCUCCUUCCAUUGUCCUGUAGGUACAUAUUUGGAAAAAGACAGGCUCAGCCACACCUGAUGGCUUCAGCUAAUCAAUUCAUGUGCAUCUUAAGUCUGUCAAGACGAGAUCACCUAUUUAGUGUUAAGCCUAAAGGGAUAUAUUUUGUGCCAGUGAAAUCUGAGAGAGAUCAGUUCACUACUCACUUUUUUUUUCUUUCUUGAUGCUCAUAGAACAAAUCUAUUUUAAGAUUAUUUUUCCUCCUUGGUAUAAAUUUUAAAAUUUAUUUUAAACAAAUCACCUAUUUAAUAUCAUAAAUUACAGCAAUAAAAUGACCAAGAGAUGAGAGUGCGUGUGACUUUUCAGGUUAGUUCAUAAUACAGUUGCAAAGUUCUAUAUCUAAGUAGCGUUAUUGCCAUCUUAUAACAGCAGAACUUGGGGAUAGGCAGUGGAGCGAAGUUCAGAAUCUUGGGCUUUGUUUUCUUCAGUCCCUUCUACAGAGGUUGCUUAGCACAGAUACUGAACUCUUAACUGAGAGAAGUUACAAUCAUUUUUAGUCUGUUUCUUCACAGUCUGUUUUUUGUCUGGAUUCUGGUGUACAGCAUAACAGAUAAGCAGAUCCCUAAUGAGUUCAGAGCCAGCCAGUUAGUUCCUGGAUAUUUAAGCAGGUCCUUGUUAAUCCAGUUAGGUGUAGCAGGUUACUCAUUCUUCCCAUUUCUGCCCUUCACCUUGCCCUCCACUAAGAUUUCUAAUUUUAUUUCAGAAAGAUCUACCUUUUAGCAAUGAAGAAACCAUUGUUAUUAUUUUUAAAAAGCAAUAGUGGUGAGAGUAAUUCUAGGCAAAGUGUUGUAGAAAACGUAAACAGCAUGAGAUGGCGGUGCUGUGAUUCCCUACAAGACCAUCUGUUUUCCCAAUGAAAAAUCUAGUGCUUCCUCAAGUUAUGUUUUAAAAGGCUUAAGCAAUCAUUCAGAUAAUCAGACUUCAUUGCUGUGAAAUUUCAUCAAAGUGUACUCAAUCCUUGAACUCAUAUCUGGGUCCAUUUUGCCAAUCAGAUAAAACUUCCUAGGCUUUUUCCUAGAGGCAUGAGUGGUUAACUUGAUCUUAUUGCACUGCAAAAGAUUUUGUGCUACACAUCAUUUUUCAUAAAAGCUAUUUGUUGUGUUAGGAGAACUCCAGAGAGACUGCUUGUUAGAAUAGAUUUUGGGGGUGAGAGUGGGCCGGCACUUGCUCUGCUUUGUCACUUUGGACCAAAUGAAAAUUCUUAGAAAUUGUUACACGUUAACCUCAGAGGAAAUGAAGAGGCAAAAACGUGAUACAGAGGGAAUUAGCGACUUGGUAAGUAAAGAUGUUAUUUCUCAUGAACAGACCAAUAAUUAUUAAAAAACAAACAAAUGAAAUCCAAAGAAAUCCAUAAUUUGGAAGCACUGAAUUCCUUUGUCUUAAGAUUGUCCCUUGCUUCUUCUUUCAGUUGGCAUAGGGGUUGUUUACGCCACCUGACUCCUUUUUUUUUUCCUUUGUAAAGGUCAGCCAACGCAUGCCCACUCCUGUCCACACCAGCACAAACAGCCUUUGCAUUGAAAAAGCACUAGGUGGUGCCCAUUUUCUUUGCCGGUGAAAGGGCUGGAUUCCCCAAGGGAGUCACUCCGGGGAAGUUCAUCAGGCCCCAGCCCACACAACACAGUGCACUUCUCUCCUCUCACAGAUGACCAGGAGCUUGGUGUCACAGUCCGUCCCUUCCCUCAUGCAUCCUGGGGCUUGCGUGUUUUAGGACAGAGUGUUGAUUUGGGGAGACAGUGUUUUUACAUAGGAGGGUAGGAGUGGAGGGGAUGGUGGCAGAAAGCUUCGAGUAUUCCCUUUGAAAAUGAAAGAUAAGAGGAAUAAAGGCUGCAAUCCUGCCAUCUGCCUUUGUAAAAAGUCAUAGUAUAAUAUCUCUGCCAAGGCUCUCCUCCUGCCAGAUCAUCUGGACAAUGCAGUGCACAUGCUAAUUUUAUUUUUUCCCACUUUUGCCUGUAAUCAAACUGUGAAAAUAAUAAGAGAAAAUGAAGGUUAAUCUUAAAUUUCAAUUUGUCUCUUCACAAAAAUAAUUCUUUGUUAAAUAAAGUAUAGCUAAAUUGAAGAUUUUGCAUGCCCAUGUCUCCCCCCAAUACCUACCAUAUGAAGAGGUGGCUUUAUACUAGUGAGUUCUUUCCUUUAAAAAAAAAUCUUAUUAGGCACGCUUAACAGAUUGUUGCUUUGUGUUCAAGGAGAGCAGAUAACUGGCUAAGAAGAUUUUUUUUUUCCGGAAUAAUUUUAUCCAGGCAAUAUGCCCAUCAGAUCUGUUUUAGAAUGUAGAACUGUUUAGAAAGUUUUUGUUCUUGUGAAGAUCUGGUAGCAGCAAUUGAGCAUAAUCAUGCUAUUGUCAUAAAAGGAAAAGGAGAAAAGAAUAAAGCAGUUUUUUCUAAUACACAUAUGUCUUGUCUAUCUAUAACCUAUUCCCUGAAAUUUGGCCUAAUAGAGUUAUUUUGUUCAAAUAUAUUUAUUUUGUUUUAGAGAAAGCAAGAAAAUUGUUUUUUGAAUGCCAAAGAAGUAGAUUCUUGCAGUAAAAUCUGAAUCUU